GCGAACGGGUGAGUAAUGCAUCGGAACGUACCGAGUAGUGGGGGAUAACUGUCCGAAAGGAUGGCUAAUACCGCAUACGCUUUGAGAAGGAAAGCAGGGGCUCUUCGGACCUUGCGCUAUUCGAGCGGCCGAUGUCUGAUUAGCUAGUUGGUGGGGUAAAGGCCUACCAAGGCGACGAUCAGUAGCGGGUCUGAGAGGAUGAUCCGCCACACUGGGACUGAGACACGGCCCAGACUCCUACGGGAGGCAGCAGUGGGGAAUUUUGGACAAUGGGCGCAAGCCUGAUCCAGCCAUGCCGCGUGUCUGAAGAAGGCCUUCGGGUUGUAAAGGACUUUUGUCAGGGAAGAAAAGGUUGUGGUUAAUACCCAUGACUGAUGACGGUACCUGAAGAAUAAGCACCGGCUAACUACGUGCCAGCAGCCGCGGUAAUACGUAGGGUGCGAGCGUUAAUCGGAAUUACUGGGCGUAAAGCGGGCGCAGACGGUUACUUAAGUCAGAUGUGAAAUCCCCGGGCUCAACCU
rnacentral:rRNA from 1 species